UGUCACAAAAAUAAACAAGGGCUGUUGAGGCAUCCAGACACUAGCAACAAUGGUAAGCCAUUACUAAUUCUACACUAAAGGAGCAAUGGGAGGAAAGAAUGUAGCUGGAGCCUGAUGAGAGCUGAAGAGGGGAAGAAGGGCCACUUGGCAGCAGCUGUAAUCUUGGAGGGAGGCAGCUACUGGCAGAGAUGCAGGACUAACGCAGGGAGGAAGAGAGAAGAGCUCUCCUCCUCAACCUUGAUCUUCGUGCAGGUGCCUCCCAUUGGCUGAAAUCAAACGGAAGCUGGCAGACAAGGGAGCCAGCUGACAAGGUAUUGGAUCAGCAUCCCAGAGCAUGGAACAAGACAGAGAAAGGGCACCAUGUUGACAAGAGGAUUUGAUCUGCAGUCGAUCCUGACUUGAGCACUCACUAGCUGUGUAUUCCAAGACCAGUCACUUAAUCUUUCUGGGCCUCAGAUUCCUCAUGUGACACUAUCACAUACAAUUUGAAAACCACACGUCUCCUCAUUUUAUUCACGUGACAUCAUGACAGUUGGAGACCAGAGAGGUGAAGUGAUGCGCCUCAGAUCACACAGAACUGGCUCCCAUGACGUGGAGGCCAGAAGUCCCAAGAUUUGCAGUCCAGAGGCCUGAGAACCGGGAAAGCUGAUGGUCUAAGUUCCAGUUUGCAUCAUUCGAGUUCAAAAGUAGGAGAAGACCAGUGUCCCAGCUUGGAGACCGUCAGGCAGGGAAGACUCCCUCCUCUGGCCAUCCCUGCAAUCCUAAAGAGCUAGGAUGGCACCGGGUAUGAGAAUAAAAGGUAAGCCUCUGUCUGGUUCAGAGACUUUCUGCAGUCAGUGGAUGACAAAGAUCGUGCAAGGGUAAGCUUAAGAAUAAAAGGGGUAUCAUACCCACUCUUUGUAUAGCAGCACAAAGAGAAGAAUGCUUUAAAAUGUAGACCAAAUCACAUCACUCUAAGAAUAAAUCCUUACCUUGGGC
rnacentral:lncRNA from 1 species